rnacentral:rRNA from 1 species
CCCGCAACGAGCGCAACCCUUAUCCUUUGUUGCCAGCGGUCCGGCCGGGAACUCAAAGGAGACUGCCAGUGAUAAACUGGAGGAAGGUGGGGAUGACGUCAAGUCAUCAUGGCCCUUACGACCAGGGCUACACACGUGCUACAAUGGCGCAUACAAAGAGAAGCAAUCUCGCGAGAGCUAGCGGACCUCAUAAAGUGCGUCGUAGUCCGGAUUGGAGUCUGCAACUCGACUCCAUGAAGUCGGAAUCGCUAGUAAUCGUGAAUCAGAAUGUCACGGUGAAUACGUU